UGAGGAACAUGACCUUCGGCGGGGGAUAGCCGGCCCAACGGCCGGGUAAUACCGCGUACGACCACUCGGGGACAUCCCCAGGUGGUGAAAGCAGCAAUGCGCCGAUGGAGUGCCUCGCGGCCUAUCAGCUAGUUGGUGAGGUAACGGCUCACCAAGGCAACGAUCCGUAGCUGGUCUGAGAGGAUGAUCAGCCACACGUGGGACUGAGACACCGGCCCAGACCUCGUACGGGAGG
rnacentral:rRNA from 1 species